UACAGAGGGUGCAAGCGUUGUUCGGAAUUAUUGGGCGUAAAGGGUGCGUAGGCGGCGCGGUAAGUCUGUUGUGAAAUCUCCGGGCUCAACCCGGAGCCUGCAAGGGAAACUGCCGUGCUUGAGUGUGGGAGAGGUGAGUGGAAUUCCCGGUGUAGCGGUGAGAUGCGUAGAUAUCGGGAGGAACACCUGUGGCGAAGGCGGCUCACUGGACCGCAACUGACGCUGAUGCGCGAAAGCUAGGGGAGCAAACAGG
rnacentral:rRNA from 1 species